rnacentral:rRNA from 1 species
GAUGAACGCUGGCGGCGUGCCUAAUACAUGCAAGUCGAGCGAACGGACGAGAAGCUUGCUUCUCUGAUGUUAGCGGCGGACGGGUGAGUAACACGUGGAUAACCUACCUAUAAGACUGGGAUAACUUCGGGAAACCGGAGCUAAUACCGGAGGAUAUUUUGAACCGCAUGGUUCAAAAGUGAAAGACGGUCUUGCUGUCACUUAUAGAUGGAUCCGCGCUGCAUUAGCUAGUUGGUAAGGUAACGGCUUACCAAGGCAACGAUGCAUAGCCGACCUGAGAGGGUGAUCGACCACACUGGAACUGGGACACGGUCCAGACUCCUACGGGAGGCGGCAGUAGGGAAUCUUCCGCAAUGGGCGAAAGCCUGACGGAGCAACGCCGCGUGAGUGAUGAAGGUCUUCGGAUCGUAAAACUCUGUUAUUAGGGAAGAACAUAUGUGUAAGUAACUGUGCACAUCUUGACGGUACCUAAUCAGAAAGCCACGGCUAACUACGUG